rnacentral:lncRNA from 1 species
CCUCUGUGGAUCGGGAGUGUGAUGGCCCUGUCUGGAGCUGGCAGGCGGGGGGCCCCUCUGAAGGUCGGAGUGUGAUGACCCUGUCUGGAACUGGGCAGCCCCCGAUCCCUGGCACUUCUGGGCAUAGAGGACGCCUUGGCUGCUUCAGGGGUUGGCCUCAGCUACUCUUCCGGCCGUACUGGGAGCGAGGCAGGCUUGGGGGGGGCGCUGGCUCAGGAGCCCUGCCUGAUGUUCUGUGAUCAUCUUGGGGACAGUCCCCUCAACCAGGUUGGUGGCCACCCUGUCUGGGUGUUGGGUGCCAGGCACUCGACUCCACUGGGCAGCAGAGGGGACAGAGCUUCUAGGUCCAGACUGCCGCGCACAGAUGAGGCAGGUAGAAUGGCGGCCCCGAGAGUGAUGUGUAUCCAGAAGGUGAGAAUGGGACCCCAUGGACAAAAGGGUCUGCACAGAUAAAAUUAAGGAUCUUAAGAUAAUCUUGGAUGAAGAUGAGCCCUGAAUCCAACAGCAAAUGUCCUUGUAAGAGACAGAAGAGGACAGACACAGACAUGAGAAGGCAAUGUGAAGACAAUGCCGGGUAUGGGAAAGAUGGGGCCACAGCCAGGAGUGCUGACAGCCCCCAGGAGCCAGAAGAGGCAAGCAGGACCCUCCCCAGGAGGGCGCACCCUGUCCACAGGUGUGCUCUCACCUGCAAACCUGCAGUCAUCCCCAGGCCAGGG